rnacentral:rRNA from 1 species
GACAGAGGUGCCAAGCGUUAGGCGGAAUCACUGGGCUUAAAGCGUGUGUAGGCGGAUCGUUAAGUACCUUGUGAAAUCCCACGGCUCAACCGUGGAACGGCUGGGUAUACUGGCGGUCUUGAGCCACCUAGGGGCGAGCGGAACAAACGGUGGAGCGGUGAAAUGCGUAGAUAUCGUUUGGAACGCCAACGGUGAAAACAGCUCGCUGGGGGUGUGCUGACGCUGAGACACGAAAGCCAGGGGAGCGAACGGG